rnacentral:rRNA from 1 species
UACGGAGGAUGCGAGCGUUAUCCGGAUUUAUUGGGUUUAAAGGGUGCGUAGGCGGACGCUUAAGUCAGCGGUAAAAUUGCGGGGCUCAACCUCGUCGAGCCGUUGAAACUGGGUGCCUUGAGUGGGCGAGAAGUACGCGGAAUGCGUGGUGUAGCGGUGAAAUGCAUAGAUAUCACGCAGAACUCCGAUUGCGAAGGCGGCCUGCUGGACCGCGACUGACGUUGAGGCUCGAAAGCGUGGGGAGCAAACAGG